rnacentral:rRNA from 1 species
CCUACGGGUGGCAGCAGUGGGGAAUAUUGCACAAUGGGGGAAACCCUGAUGCAGCGAAGCCGCGUGAGUGAAGAAGUAAUUCGUUAUGUAAAGCUCUAUCAGCAGGGAAGAAAAUGACGGUACCUGAAUAAGAAGCCCCGGAUACCUACGUUCCAGCAGCAGCGGUAAUACGUAGGGGGCAAGCGUUAUCCGGAUUUACUGGGUGUAAGGGGAACGUAGACGGCAGUGCAAGUCUGGAGUGAAGGGCGGGGGCUCAACCCCAGGACUGCUCUAGAAACUGUAAGGCUGGAGUGCAGGAGAGGUAAGUGGAAUUCCUAGUGUAGCGGUGAAAUGCGUAGAUAUUAGGAGGAACACCAGUGGCGAAGGCGGCUUACUGGACUGUAACUGACGUUGAGGCUCGAAAGCGUGGGGAGCAAACAGGAUUAGAUACCCGAGUAGUC